GCAAUCUCAGGUCAGGCGGGACUAACCGCUGAGUUUAAGCAUAUCAAUAAGCGGACCAAAAAAAACUAACUAGGAUUCUCUUAGUAACUGUGAGCGAACCGGGAAAAGCCGAAGCUUAGAAUCGGGCGGCCCUCCAUCCGAACUGUAGCUUGGAGAAACGUCUUCAGCGGCGGAUCGAGCACAAGUCCCCUGGAUUAGGGUAUCAGAGAAGGUGACAGUCCCAUUGUGCUCGAACCUUGUCGCACCACGAGAUGCUGUUGGCGAGUCAAGUUUGGGAAUGCAACCCUAAUUGGGCAAUAAAUUCUGUCCAAGUCUAAAUACGGGCGAGAGAUCGAUAGCAAACAAGUAUGGUGAGGGAAAAUGAAAAGGACUUUGAAAAGAGAGUCAAAGAGUGCUUGAAAUUGCCGAGAGGGAAGCGGAUAGGGGCCAGCGAUACGCCCCGAUCGGGUGUGGGACGUCGUCUAAACGGUCCGCCGAUCGGCUCGAGGUGUGGACAAGUGCGGAUUAGGGAGGUGCCAAAGCCCAAGAUGUAGAAAUGCUCACGGAGAUGCUAUCACCUCGAUCGAGGAAGGAAGCGCGUGCCAUCGCCGUACUUCAGUAUCUGUGUGCUCUCGCUGCUGGCCUGCGGGCUCCCCAUUUGACCCGUCUUGAAACACGAACCAAGAAGUUUGACAUGUGUUCGAGUCCACGGGUGAGUAAACCCAUAAGGCGCAAGGAAACUAAUUGGCAGCAUCCCUCCAAGGGGUGCACCAUCGACCGACCUUGAUCUUCUGAGAAGAGUUCAAGUGUGAGUAUGCUUGUCGAGACCCGAAAGAUGGUGAACUAUGCUUGAGUGGGGUGAAGCCAGUGGAAACUCUGGUGGAGGCCUACAGCGAUACUACCGUGCAAAUCGUUCAUCUAUCUUAGGUAUAAGAGCGAAAGACUAAUUGAACCGUCUAGUAGUUGGUUCUCUCUGAAGUUUCCCUCAGAUAGCUGGAGCUCACGUAUGUGUUCUAUCGGGUAAAGUAAAUGAUUAGAGGCAUCGGGGGCGUAACAAUCGACCUAUUCUCAAACUUUAAAAAUUUAGGAUGGGACGGCUACUUUGUUGAGCCGUCCCAAGAAAUCAAGAGCUCCAAGUGGACAAUUUUUGGUAAGCAAAACUGGCGGGAUAAACCGAAAGCUGGGUUAUGUUGUCAUAUUGCACGCUAACCUAGAUACCACAAAGGGUGUUAGUCGAUUAAGACAGCAGGACGGUGGCCACAGAAGUGGAAAUCCGCUAAGGAGUGUGUAGCAGCUCACUUGCUGAAUCAACUAGUCCCGAAAAUGGAUGGCACUUAAGCGCGCGACCUAUACCCGAUCGUCGGGAGAAGUGACAAGGUUUAAUGAGUAGGAGGUAACGACGGUCAUUGGAAAACUUGGGGCACGAGCCUGGGCAAAGCGACCAUCGGUGCAUAUCCUUGUGGUAGUAGCAAACAUUCAAGUGAGAACUUUGAAGGCCGAAGAUGGGAAAAGUUUCAUGUGAACGGCACUUGUAUAGAGGCUAAUCCUAAAGGGACUCUGGUUAAAAUUCCUUAACCGGGAAGUGGGGGCUGACAGCAAUGUUAGGGAGUACAGAGACAUCGGUGGGGCCUUGGGAAGAGUUAUCUUUUCUUUUUAAUAACCUGCCCACCCUAGAAGCGGCUCAAUCAGAGGUAAGGCCAAGCGGCUGGAAGAGUUCCGCACGUCCUGUAGUGUCUAGUGCGCCCCCGGCGGCCCUUGAAAAUUCGAAGGACCGAGUGUCGUUCACGCCCGGUCGUACUCAUAACUGCAUAAGAUCAUCAAGGUGAAUAACCUCUGGUUUAUGGAAUAGUAGGUAAGGAAAGUCGGUAAAAUGGAUCUGUAACCUCGGGAAAAGGAUUUGCUCUAAGGACUGGGUGCGAGGGUCCCAAUCCCGAACCCGUUAGCUAUCAGAAGACUGCUUAAGCUACUCUUGCAGCAAGAGCAGGUCACCGCAUGCCGGCCAGGGGACAAAUUGGAACUGCUCCCUCAGGGGCCUUCCCCUGGCAUCAAACAGCCAACUCACAACUUGUACAGACAAGGAGAAUCCAACAUGUUAAUCAAACUAAAGCAUUGCAAUGGUCCCUGUAGAUGCUAACGCAAUGUGAUUUCUGCCAAGUGCUUUGAAUAUCAAAGUGAAGAAAUUCAACCAAGCGCGGUAAACGGCGGGAGUAACUAUGACUCUCUUAAGGUAGCCAAAUCUCUCGUCAUCUAAUUAGUGAUGUGCGUGAGUAGAUUAAUGAGAUUCCGACUAUCCUUGUCUACUAUCUAGUGAAACCACAGCUAAGCAAACGAGCUUGGCAGAAUCAGCAGGGAAAGAAGACCCUAUUGAGCUUGACUCUAGUCCAACUUUGUGAAAUGACUUGGGAGAUGUAAGAUAAGUGGGAGCCCUCGGGCGAAAGUGAAAUACCACUACUUUUAACGUUAUUUUACUUGUUCCUUGAAUCGGAGGUGGGGCUUAUGCCCAUCUUUCUGGACCUAAGGUCACAACGGAGGCCAAUACGGUGGAAGACAUUGUUAGGUGAGGAAUUUGGUUGGGGCAGCACGUCUAAUUAGUGACGCGCAUGAAUGGCUUAACGAGAUUACGACUGUGCGUGUCUACUAUCUAGCAAAACCAUAGCCCAGGGAAUGGGCUUGGUAGAAUCAGUAGCGAAAGAAGACCCUAUUGCACUUUACUUUAGUCCAACCUUCUGAAAUGACUUGCGAGUUGUAGGAUAAGUGAAAGCGCUAGGGCGAAAGUGAAAUAUCACUACUUUUAACGUUAUUUUACUAAUUCCAUGAAUUGGAUGCCGAAUUUACGCCCCUCUUUUUGGACCUAAGGUUGCCUCGGUAGCUGAUCCGGGCAGAAGAUAUUGUCAGAUAGGGAGUUUUGUUAGGGCAGCACAUCUGCUAAAAGAUAACGCAGACAUCCUAAGAUGAGCUUAAUGAGAACAUAAAUCUUGUGUGGAAAAGAGGUGUAAAAGCUCGUUUGGUUCUGAUUUCUAGUACGAAUUCGAACCGUGAACGUACCCUAACAAUCCUUUAGAUCUUUGGAAUUUGAAGCUAGAGGUGCAAGAAAAGUUACCACAAGGAUAACUGCCUUGUGGCAGCCAACCGUUCAUAGGACGUUGCCUUUGGAUCCUUCAUGUCGGUUCUUCCUAUCAUUGUGAAGCAGAAUUCACCAAGUGUAGGAUUGUUCUCCCACCAAUAGGGAACGUGUUCUGGGUUUAGACCGUCUUGAGACAGGUUAGUUUUACCCCACUAAUGACAGUAUUGCAAUAGUAAUUCAACCUAGUACGAGAGGAACCGUUGAUUGGCGCAAUUAGUUAUCGUGCUUUGUUGAAAAGCCAGUGGCGAAGCUACCGUGUGUUGGAUUAUGACUGAACGCCUCUAAGUAAGAAUCCAGGCUAGAAGCAAUGCGUACGCCCACCGUCCAUUUGCCAACCAAUAGCAGGGGCCUUUCUGCGAUAAUCAAGAGACUUUACAAUAUAUAGGGUUCUUUUUUUAUUCUAUAGGUGAUGAUGCAUACAUAGUCGUCUUU
rnacentral:rRNA from 1 species